rnacentral:rRNA from 1 species
GACGAACGCUGGCGGCGUGCUUAACACAUGCAAGUCGAACGGAAAGGCCCUGCUUUUGUGGGGUGCUCGAGUGGCGAACGGGUGAGUAACACGUGAGUAACCUGCCCUUGACUUUGGGAUAACUUCAGGAAACUGGGGCUAAUAUCGGAUAGGAGCUCCUGCUGCAUGGUGGGGGUUGGAAAGUUUCGGCGGUUGGGGAUGGACUCGCGGGUUAUCAGCUUGUUGGUGGGGUAGUGGCUUACCAAGGCUUUGACGGGUAGCCGGCCUGGGAGGGUGACCGGCCACAUUGGGACUGAGAUACGGACCAGACUCCUACGGGAGGCAGCAGGGGGGAAUAUUACCCAGUGGGCGGGAGCCUGAGACGACGGCGCCGCGUGCGGAAUGACGGCCUUCGGGUUAAAAACCGCUUUCGCCUGUGACGAAGCGUGAGUGACGGUAAUGGGUAAAGAAGCACCGGCUAACUACGUG